rnacentral:rRNA from 1 species
UACAGAGGUCUCAAGCGUUGUUCGGAUUCAUUGGGCGUAAAGGGUGCGUAGGUGGCGAGGUUAGUCAGGUGUGAAAUCUCGGGGCUCAACCCCGAAACUGCACUUGAUACUGCCUUGCUAGAGUACUGGAGAGGAGAUUGGAAUUUACGGUGUAGCAGUGAAAUGCGUAGAUAUCGUAAGGAAGACCAGUGGCGAAGGCGGGUCUCUGGACAGUUCCUGACGCUGAGGCACGAAGGUCAGGGGAGCAAACGGG